CCUACGGGAGUCAGCAGUGAGGAAUAUUGGUCAAUGGCCGCAGGGCUGAACCAGCCAAGUCGCGUGAGGGAUGACGGUCCUAUGGAUUGUAAACCUCUUUUGUCAGGGAGCAAAGGGCGCCACGUGUGGCGCUUUGCGAGUACCUGAAGAAAAAGCAUCGGCUAACUCCGUGCCAGCAGCCGCGGUAAUACGGAGGAUGCGAGCGUUAUCCGGAUUUAUUGGGUUUAAAGGGUGCGCAGGCGGAAUGUCAAGUCAGCGGUAAAAUUUCGGGGCUCAACCCCGUCGUGCCGUUGAAACUGGUGUUCUUGAGUGAGCGAGAAGUAUGCGGAAUGCGUGGUGUAGCGGUGAAAUGCAUAGAUAUCACGCAGAACUCCGAUUGCGAAGGCAGCAUACCGGCGCUCAACUGACGCUCAUGCACGAAAGCGUGGGUAUCGAACAGGAUUAGAUACCCCUGUAGUC
rnacentral:rRNA from 1 species